AGGCCAGACUCCUACGGGAGGCAGCAGUGGGGAAUAUUGCACAAUGGGGAACCCUGAUGCAGCGACGCCGCGUGGGUGAAGAAGCGCCUCGGCGCGUAAAGCCCUGUCAGCAGGGAAGAAAAUGACGGUACCUGAAGAAGAAGCCCCGGCUAACUACGUGCCAGCAGCCGCGGUAAUACGUAGGGGACAAGCGUUAUCCGGAUUUACUGGGUGUAAAGGGGGCGCAGACGGCGAUGCAAGCCAGGAGUGAAAGCCCGGGGCUCAACCCCGGGACUGCAUUUGGAACUGUUAAGCUGGAGUGUCGGAGAGGCAGGCGGAAUUCCUAGUGUAGCGGUGAAAUGCGUAGAUAUCAGGAGGAACACCGGUGGCGAAGGCGGCCUGCUGGACUGCAACUGACGUUGAGGCCCGAAAGCGUGGGGAGCAAACAGGAUUAGAUACCCCAGUAGG
rnacentral:rRNA from 1 species